UUCGAAAAGAAAAGAAUUAAUACCCGAUGGUAUGCGAGUACCGCCAUGGUGCUUUCAUUAAAGUUUUUCGGGUAAAUGAUGGGGAUGCGUUUCAUUAGAUUGUUGGUGAGGUAACGGCUCACCAAGUCUUCGAUGAAUAGGGGUUCUGAGAGGAAGGUCCCCCACACUGGUACUGAGACACGGACCAGACUCCUACGGGAGGCAGCAGUGAGGAAUAUUGGUCAAUGGGCGAGAGCCUGAACCAGCCAAGUAGCGUGAAGGAUGACUGCCCUAUGGGUUGUAAACUUCUUUUAUAUGGGAAUAAAGUGUGGAACGUGUUCCAUUUUGUAUGUACCAUAUGAAUAAGGAUCGGCUAACUCCGUGCCAGCAGCCGCGGUAAUACGGAGGAUAAAAAGCGUUAUCCGGAUUUAUUGGGUUUAAAGGGUGCGUAGGCGGGUGUUUAAGUCAGCUGUGAAAGUUUGGGGCUCAACCUUAAAAUUGCAGUUGAUACUGGAUACCUUGAGUGUAGUGGAGGUUAGCGGAAUUCGUGGUGUAGCGGUGAAAUGCUUAGAUAUCACGAAGAACUCCGAUUGCGUAGGCAGCUGACUAUCCUAUAACUGACGCUGAGGCACGAAAGUGUGGGUAUCAGACAGGAUUAGAUACCCUGGUAGUCCACACAGUAAACGAUGAAUACUCGUUGUAGGCGAUAUAC
rnacentral:rRNA from 1 species